UACGUAGGGGGCUAGCGUUGUCCGGAAUCAUUGGGCGUAAAGCGCGUGUAGGCGGUCCGGUAAGUCCGCUGUGAAAGUCGGGGGCUCAACCCUCGAAUGCCGGUGGAUACUGUCGGGCUAGAGUGCGGAAGAGGCGAGUGGAAUUCCUGGUGUAGCGGUGAAAUGCGUAGAGAUUGGGAAGAACACCAGCGGCGAAAGCGUGCUACUGGGUCUGCACUGACACUGAGGGACGAAAGCUAGGGGAGCGAAAGGG
rnacentral:rRNA from 1 species